rnacentral:lncRNA from 1 species
UAUUGUAGGUGUAUAUUUACUACUGAUCCGAACGCAUAUAUAUCAAACAUGCAUGGAGUUGGAUAUAUUUAGUAGAAUAAAUACUACACUCUCCAACAUUUUCAUUGACGACCAAUCCUUGAUAUAUAUACAAGGAUAUCAUUAAUUAUUAGCAAAACAAAAAAGAAAAAAAGAUCCAAGAACAAACUAAGCAAAAGGAUCUGAUCUGAAAUCAAACACCAUACAGCUAGCAGCGCGCAUAUUCAACAUAUAUAGAUGGACACUAGUAGUAAUUAUUAAUUCUCUCUUAAUCGUCGACCAAAGCAGGAUCACAUGUCUGAAAAGAGUGAAAAAGAAGGGAUACUUUGCUCGUGCCUGAAAAAGUUAAGUGGGUCAACCAAGGUUUUCACUCGAAUCAACUUGUCAAAAUUUUUGUUGAAGUAAGAUCUUCCCCAUUUACGCGCCCCGAUAUUGCUAAUAAUUCCGGAGCCACUGUUCACUCCGAGAUCAAUAUCAUCAUAAUUCCAAUAAGCCCUUCGUGGAUUACUGGAAACAUAAGGAGUCAAGUACUUGUGCAAGCUCCUGAUCCACUCUAACUUCUGUGUGGUAUUUCCAACCCAAAGCACCCUUGCGUAAAUCAUGUACAAUGUUCCAGCUCUAUUGGGGAACGGAAUUGCCGACUCUGGGUAAUUGUCAAGAACUCCCCCAUACGGCGUAAAGAUCACCGUUGUUUCUCCGGGACCAACUUCUAGAAGCUUCUCCCAUAACCCUUCUAUUCCUGCUAUUGACAUUGGUGUCCUCACAAAGUCUGAUUUUGCUUUCGUGGGAAUAUCCUUCAAGAAGGUCCUGUCAAGCAAAUCCUCAGGGGUAUAAGUUUCUUCGAACAUAUUGAAAAAUGAGGAAAGCAUGACAGCUUGGAUCCAUGGGACUUCUAGAAGGUCUGAUCUCUUCAAACCUAAUUGGGGAAAUCUCUGAUCCAUAAUUGAUAUUAGUUGAUCAGCUCCACCCAGGUAUGCACCCGUAAACCCUAACUCAACC